AAAAAUAAAAGAAGAAAAAGAAAAACAUGGUUGGUCAAAACAAACGUUAAAUAAAAAAGAAGCAACGGUUCAAGUUUGCUGCCGAGCUCUGAACGGUAUGACUACAGCGUGAAAGAGGCCCCCAACAUGCACACGUGAAGGGCCAACACGGCAGUUAGUCAACCAUGCGUUCCCAAAGCAACGGCAUCUCAACUACUAAGAGCCCGCACACAAACACACACAAGUCGUAAUGAUUGUUAUUAGGAUCAUUUUUCUCUUCUGUGUGUUUUUUUUUCCUGCUCUCUCACGCCCCUCCAGCGGCGGCCUGAUUGACGCCUUAACAACUGGUGGUGUAGCCCGGACGAUGAGGAUGUGCCACCAUCUGCAUCACACACAUCUCAGCUGGAUUGUAACCAGCCCGUAUGUGUUUCUCUCUCACAUGCAAUGACCUGCUUUUAGUGCGACCGCAUGGCUGUGAAAAUGAUCCCAUUGAGAAAUAACUUUUUUUUUAAUGAAAAAGGAACCCUCCCCGGAGAGAUGUGCGGUUGUGAUGGACGACGGCUGACGUCGUUCCUAUUAUCCAAUUAAGGUCUCCGCAACAGGCGACGAGUGAUGAACGUGAAACAAUCUAAAGGAAUACUAUCACCAAGAUGAAGACGGAUCGAUUUUCUACAAAGCGAUGACGGAAUGUCGGGUUGGCUGUUUGCGAGAUUCUUAAAGCGCACUGAAAUGCGGAAGUGAUAAAAUGGAUGGCGUGUGUGUUUUGAGUACGUGACCGCCAUUUAGACUUCUCAACACGCAGCCCAGCACCGACCGCUCACGAAAGGUGGAGACCAGCAACAGAUGGGGCUUCUAAAGAGAAAUAUUAACCGUUGGGAUAUUAACCACAAGGCCACAGAUAUUAUUAUGAUUUCCGGAUUCAUCACUCAACGAUGCGUGUCUAUAUCGCAGCUGAAAAUGGAACAUGUAUCAAAACUAUCGCCAGCCAAUUUUUGUUUCUUGUUCGAACCCGUCACCACUUUGUUGCUGACCAACUAACACACAAUGAGCAACGGUCACUAUUAAUAGAAAACCGGAUGGGCCUCAAUUUCCGGGCAAUAAAUUUGCAUUCAACUUAAACCCCAUAAAGAAAAAAAAAGAAUCUUUGAUUUAGAAUUGAUUGAAAUUUCUUACCGGUAGUUGAGGUGUGUGUUGGGACCUAGGGCGACACAAGGAGGAUGGCGAAUGCAACUCUGCUGCAGGUGACUUGAAAAAAUAGCCACCAAAAAAAUUUAAAUAAAUAUUCUCCUCGGGUAGAUUGUGCUAGUGGAGGAGGGAGUAGUAAAAAAACCGAUGUGUAGCUCACGAAUGCUUGUCAACUUCUGCUAUAGACUGGAUGGUCCACUAUGACUUUUAUAUAGGUUGGAAGUACGCUCCGGGGACGCUCUGUUAUACAGCGCACCGCCUCUCUACGCCUGUUGGUCGUAUGCUGGAACAUGUGGAGGAGGAGGGCCAGCAGCAGCAACAGCAGCAGUAGUGCUGGAAUGUUGGAAAUAAAACAAAAAAGAAAAAAAAAACCCACAACAGAAGGUACGUCAAGACACCCGAGGACCGAUGAUCUUUUGUAUACGUGUAAUACGCAAACCUGUGUGUGCUCUAUGUGGUAGUCCUUGCAGCAUGGCGCCCCACAACAGCGGCGGCGGCGGCGGCGGCGGCCCGACGGCGCAAUCGUCGACCAUAUUGGCCAACUGCCGGGUUUCCUUAACUAAUGUAAAAAGAAAGAGAAAUAAGAAGCGGUCGCAAGAGAAGCCCACCUGUUGGACGUGACUGACCGGCGUUUUUUCUUGGACUCUUGUGUUGUGUAACUUUUGAAAUAGGGGCUCUGUGUGUGCACAGCUUCAGAAAUUCUCUCUCUAACGGCAUAGGCACUUACACCUUUAAAGAUAUUUUUCUCUCCACCGUCUUUCAAUUCUUUCAUCCGUUUGAGCUAUUUUUGUUGAAUGACACUAGACUUUUCUUCUUCCUUUCACACACUGCCAAGAUUAAUUACAAUCAUUUUAUUAUUGGUCAUCUCUUCUUCACUGCAUCAAACGCGUCUCUAAAAUGAGAUUACUUUUGUUUCCUCUUUCAAAGAUUUUUGUGUGCAAUCACCAAUAAAACGUUCCAGGAAAAAAAAACAGUUUUGUGAAUAACAUCAUAAAAAUUUGAGUUUACCAAAAUAAUUGAAACGAAAAAGAGGAAAAAAAUUACCCUGCAAUGAAAUUUGUUUUUAUCUGAAAAAGAAAACGUGUUUCAUAAUUAACCUACUGCCAGGCGCGAUUAUAUAGGCCUACCCAAUUUUCUAUUUUCGCUCUGUGUAUAAUUGGAUUACGAGUCCUUUAUUAGAUGAAACGAAUUUUUUUUUGAGCGAUGAUGACGUAACCGUUUCAUUGAGCAAUCAGCAGGUUUUGUACUUUAUACCAGCGGCCAAUUUUUCGCUUUCUGCUGUUUGAUGCGCGGAUAAUCGCGGGUUUAUCAGAUUCAACCGAAAAGAUGACGGGCAAUUUCCUGCCAGGAGCCAUUUAUCUUCCACCAAUUUUACUCGGAGAAGAGACCAUUUCGUUUUAGAAUGAGCUUUUGGUGAAAGCAAAGAACAACUGGACGGUGGACAUACUUGGAGACUUGUCUUUUCUCUUUUUCUCACGUUAGAUUUUACCAAUGUGCGCGGAAACAAUUGCAUACAUAGUCCGCUUUGGUCGACCAACUGUGACGACUCUCUUUAUUUUAGGAAUAUAUAUAUAUAACCUUUUAAAAAAAUUUACGUCGACGUCGUCGAGUUUGUAACGCAAUUUUCCCUUUUCACCUGUUGGAAAGUUUUGCUGGGCCCUCCACAAAAGAAUAAAAAAAAAAAAGAUUUCUAAAGCUCGUCGCAUAUGCGUGAAAGCUCGGAUGAUGAUUUUCCCGUUACAAUGAAACGGGUAAACUAUUAAAACUGAUGAAACAGUAUCUUUUUCUCCACUUAUAAUUUUUUGAACGUCAUUUGGCUUUGGUUGGCAACGUGCAGCUUGUUUUUUUGUUUUUAUGUGACGUCGCCUGCUGCGGUACGAAAAAAUUAUUUCAACCCCGUUAGAUGAUGAAUAUUCUCGGUUUGAAACUGAAACAACCACUUCCGUUCACCCAUAUUGCACGCGGGAAAGGGCUCGAGGCUUUUCGAUUGCCGACAGCAGGAGGAGAAGAAGAAGAUCUCUGAAAAGAAAGCUCUCUUGACUGCUGCAAAGCGGUUACAUCUGUCAUGUUCGUGGGAUGCCUGAACACUACAUCAUCAACUCUUGUUUUAAAUAGCCAUUAAUGAUGACUAGGGUUUUCCACAAUUUUCACCUCUCACGUGGAAGUGUGAUGUGUUUACCUCCUCAAGUUUCUAAUCAUUUUCGAGACACACUGGCACACUUCCUGAGCAUGGCUUUACACACAGUUUCAUUGGGUGAAAUUUUGUUGUGUGUCUGCGUAAUUGUGAUUUAGGGAGUUGAGCCACAGCAUCAGCCAAUCAAGGAAGAAGUGGGAGUCUGGUUCCAUUCGAAACAAAAGUUAUAUUCAAACCAUUGGAAACGAAACAGCAGCAAUUCCUGUCGAUGCAUCGUCUUGACGUGACGUCUGAUGAUGGGAAAAACAAGUGGACCACAUCCAUGUGCAGGUUAUUCAUUAUUUGCCUGAUGUCUGUGCCAUAUGAUGAACAGUUAAAAAAGGAAAAGAAGAGCGACAAGCCGGCGUGAAGAAAUAAGUAACAAGCUUAUACUAAAGGCACCGUAAUAAUAACAACUGAACGAGCUCUUUAUACGAGCCGUUAACCCCAUUGGGCGUUUGUCUCUCUCUCGCGGCUUCUUCCUCCCGCGUGUUUACAUUGCCUUCAUCGUCCAGAGCCUCGUCCGUUUGCCGCUGAAAAUUUACAGCAUUUCGUGAUACAAUUUCCACAGCAGGACCGACGACUGUCAGGUGGAAAUCCGUUUGCCGUUGAAUGGCCGAAUUCUCUUGUAACUUGGAAGAAGAAGAAAAAAUUGUCAUCUUUGAACUUCCAUCAUCGGUCAUGUGGCAGAAGAUGUUCGGGAUUCCAGUCAACCAGUAUAGCGAUUCGCCAUAAGAAUGUUCCGCGACCGUACGAAAAUUCUUUCGCUGCACAGCUAAUUACACCGACACAGCAAGGAGCCGAAUAAUUUCCUAUCGGAGGAGGGCGACCAACCUCAUCAUCAACAUCUGUCGCUGUGGCCUAGCUUUUGUUUCGGGCCAAAGGAGAGACUCUGCUGGAAAGAAAGAAAGAAAGAAAAAGGAAAUAAUAUCGAGUUAGGCGACAAUAUCUAUCUUUGUAUUACCACGAGUAAUAGGGUGGGGGAACAAGAAAUCCAGCGGCAAAGAUACAAAAGAGUCGAAUCAAUGUGUAACAUAAGAGAAGGAAAAAAAGAUAAACAACCCUGGUUAACUCGAUCGCGCUGCGAGCGACUCGAAAUAAUAAAAAAAAGAAUCGUGUACGACCAUUUCCGCUGGGUGGCUAGUUUAAAGGUGUACACUACGUCCGCGACCGAGCAUGCAUCCAUUUAUAGCGAUUAAAAGAAUACGAGAAAA
rnacentral:lncRNA from 1 species